rnacentral:lncRNA from 1 species
UUUUUUUUUUUUUUUUUUUUUUUUUUGAGGCAAAGUCUCUUCUGUAGUCCAAGCUGUCCUGGAGCUCAUUAUAUAGCAACCCCAUGGAAAUCCUCCUGUCUCAUCUCUGGAUGUUUUGGGAAAAUAUUUUUGUUUUGUUUGCUUUUUGAUAAGAUUUGUUGUAUAGCCCAGACCAUCCUUGAACUCAUGGUAUUCCUACCUCGGGCUUCCAACUGCUAGAAUUACAGGAGUGUUUCACAGGCCCAGCUUGAUAAUUUCUUUAAUUAAUUAAUUUAUUUAUAUACAAGUACACUGUAGCUGUCCUCAGACACACCAGAAGAGGGCAUCAGAUCCCAUUACAGAUGGUUGUGAGCCACCACGUGGUUGCUGGGAUUUGAACUCAGGACCUCUGGAAGAGCAGUCAGUGCUCUUAACCACUGAGCCAUCUCUCCAGUCCUGAUAAGAAAUCUUAUAUCCCAAAAUAGUACUGUAGUUACUGAUUAUUGUCAACAGUGCUAAUAGUCAGGGAUUUUUUUUUUGUGUCAGUUACUUUUUGGUUGUGAGCCUAGCCUUUAACGGCUGAGCCAUCUCUCCAGCCCGUGUCAGUUACUUUUUAAGAUAAACAUAGACAUAUAGGAUAUUUUUAACUUUGGAAUAAUAAAAUUCCAAAUUUGAAGCAAUUCAAAAUUGAGUUUAUAGAGAGUAAAUUCUGAUCUAAUGAAGUAAAACAAUAAAGGAACAUGGACUGGGUGGCUGUAGAUUAAAUUC